rnacentral:lncRNA from 1 species
UGGUGCAGGGAACAUCAGCACACCUAUCCUCUCGGCCCAGGUGAAAACUACUCAGACGCUACGCUCAGGGACUGAAUGGCUGGUACAUCACUAAACACGGGGCAAGUGAGGGUACUGAGGGUGUCGUCUACAGGAUUUGCCCAGCACCUGCUUUUAC